rnacentral:lncRNA from 1 species
AUUAAAUAAGGUUUUCAGUUUCCACCUAGACUGGAAAGAGCAGCGGUGGUCGUCAGCCGAGAAGGCAAACUGUCACAGCGAGGAUCUGCCACAAUCCRUUUGGCCCUUCUGAAAAAAAUAAGCAGAAGACUCAGCUGGGGCGUUGAGCAGUACCUAACAAAUUUUGAAGCUAAUACUAAUACUGCUAAUCCCUAGACAUAAAGUGUGAUCGCUGCAGGUGUUCAGAUGGUCUUUUCUUUAUUUCCAAGACAAACUUUGUUCUAUAAGCAAAACUCUCUACUGCGACAAUCCCAGUAAAGCCUAAGAAGCUUGCUUCACACGCCAAAAAUGCUGAUCCUGAAGCUGAACGUUACACGGGCACCCGGUACCGCAGAGAGGGACCAGACAGGUCUGGUUUUGAUCUGCCCACUCUGCAUGAACGAAGCAACAGAAAACAGGAUCUGAUUGUACCAGCUGACCUGAGUUCACACACCCGUAGCCUUAUCAAGUGGAGACUAUUCACACAGUCACACAGUCACGCUGGCUAUAAUGGAGUAAUCAUUAUGCUGAUCUUCCAGACUGUUUAAGCUCUUUUAACAGAUGGAUCUAGUAUGCUUCUGUCUUUGGGUGAUCAUUUCUUUGGUGUACAGUGAUCUUGCUGGACUGGAGUUCAUAUUAUCUUGGCAAGCUCUUUAAGGCAAGUUGUGUUCAUAUUAUAUUCCCUGUACCUUCAGUGUAACUUGCAGUUUCAUCAGAGGGUAUUGUCUCUUUUCUGUUGUAUACCAGAGGCCAAAAGCUGCUCUCUGGCAAUCCCUCGCUCUCCUGUAGGUGAGAUGAUGGCCCACUAAGCACCUGCAGCCUAUACAGGCUUAUUGGGGAAGCAAGAAACAGCCGUUGAACUUUAUGCAGCCAGUAAUGGACCUUCACUCUUACCUUAGUCUGGGGAUAAUGCUGAAAAAAAGGACAGGUGGGAGAGUGAAAUAGUAUUACAAGACUUGGGCUUGCCAGGUGGAACACUGAACAUAAAAUUCAGCUGUAAAUGCAUAAAAUUCAGCUGUAAACG